rnacentral:rRNA from 1 species
UGGGGAAUUUUGGACAAUGGGGGAAACCCUGAUCCAGCCAUCCCGCGUGUGCGAUGAAGGCCUUCGGGUUGUAAAGCACUUUUGGCAGGAAAGAAACGUCGCGGGUUAAUACCCCGCGAAACUGACGGUACCUGCAGAAUAAGCACCGGCUAACUACGUGCCAGCAGCCGCGGUAAUACGUAGGGUGCAAGCGUUAAUCGGAAUUACUGGGCGUAAAGCGUGCGCAGGCGGUUCGGAAAGAAAGAUGUGAAAUCCCAGAGCUUAACUUUGGAACUGCAUUUUUAACUACCGGGCUAGAGUGUGUCAGAGGGAGGUGGAAUUCCGCGUGUAGCAGUGAAAUGCGUAGAUAUGCGGAGGAACACCGAUGGCGAAGGCAGCCUCCUGGGAUAACACUGACGCUCAUGCACGAAAGCGUGGGGAGCAAACAGGAUUAGAUACCCUGGUAGUCCACGCCCUAAACGAUGUCAACUAGCUGUUGGGGCCUUCGGGCCUUGGUAGCGCAGCUAACGCGUGAAGUUGACCGCCUGGGGAGUACGGUCGCAAGAUUAAACUCAAAUGAAUUGACGGGGUCGAUAC